rnacentral:rRNA from 1 species
AACAGGAUUAGAUAUCCUGGUAGUCCACGCCGUAAGCGAUGGAAGCUAGCCGUCGGGUGAUUUAUCACUCGGUGGCGCAGCAAACGCAUUAAGCUUCCCGCCUGGGGAGUACGGUCGCAAGAUUACAACUCAAAGGAAUUGACGGGGGCCCGCACAAGCGGUGGAGCAUGUGGUUUUAUUCGAAGCAACGCGCAGAACCUUACCAGCUCUUGACAUGCCAGGACGAUGACCGGAGACGGACAUCUUCCUUCGGGACGUGGACACAGGUGCUGCAUGGCUGUCGUCAGCUCGUGUCGUGAGAUGUUGGGUUAAGUCCCGCAACGAGCGCAACCCUCGCCCUUAGUUGCCAGCAUUGAGUUGGGCACUCUAAGGGGACUGCCGGUGAUAAGCCGAGAGGAAGGUGGGGAUGACGUCAAGUCCUCAUGGCCCUUACGGGCUGGGCUACACACGUGCUACAAUGGCGGUGACAAUGGGCAGCCAACUCGCGAGAGUGCGCUAAUCCCAAAGCCGUCUCAGUUCGGAUUGCACUCUGCAACUCGGGUGCAUGAAGUUGGAAUCGCUAGUAAUCGUGGAUCAGCAUGCCACGGUGAAUACGUUCCCGGGCCUUGUACACACCGCCCGUCACACCAUGGGAGUUGGUUCUACCCGAAAGUGGUGCGCUAACCGCAAGGAGCAGCCAACCACGGUAGGGUCAGCGACUGGGGUGAAGUCGUAACAAGGUAACCGUA